GAUGAACGCUGGCGGCGUGCCUAAUACAUGCAAGUCGAGCGAACAGACGAGGAGCUUGCUCCUCUGACGUUAGCGGCGGACGGGUGGGUAACACGUGGAUAACCUACCUAUAAGACUGGGAUAACUUCGGGAAACCGGAGCUAAUACCGGAUAAUAUAUUGAACCGCAUGGUUCAAUAGUGAAAGACGGUUUUGCUGUCACUUAUAGAUGGAUCCGCGCCGCAUUAGCUAGUUGGUAAGGUAACGGCUUACCAAGGCAACGAUGCGUAGCCGACCUGAGAGGGUGAUCGGCCACACUGGAACUGAGACACGGUCCAGACUCCUACGGGAGGCAGCAGUAGGGAAUCUUCCGCAAUGGGCGAAAGCUUGACGGAGCAACGCCGCGUGAGUGAUGAAGGUCUUCGGAUCGUAAAACUCUGUUAUUAGGGAAGAACAACUGUGUAAGUAACUAUGCACGUCUUGACGGUACCUAAUCAGAAAGCCACGGCUAACUACGUG
rnacentral:rRNA from 1 species